GACGAACGCUGGCGGCGUGCUUAACACAUGCAAGUCGAACGAUGAAGCCGGAGCUUGCUCUGGUGAAUUAGUGGCGAACGGGUGAGUAACACGUGAGUAACCUGCCCUUGACUCUGGGAUAACUGCGGGAAACUGUAGCUAAUACCGGAUACGACCCUCGGAGGCAUCUCCUGGGGGUGGAAAGAAUUUCGGUCAAGGAUGGACUCGCGGCCUAUCAGCUAGUUGGUGAGGUAAAGGCUCACCAAGGCGACGACGGGUAGCCGGCCUGAGAGGGGGGCUGGCCACACUGGGACAGAGACACGGCCCAGACUGCUACGGGAGGCAGCAGUGGGGAAUAUUGCACAAUGGGCGCAAGCCUGAUGCAGCAACGCCGCGUGAGGGAUGACGGCCUUCGGGUUGUAAACCUCUUUUAGCAGGGAAGAAGCGAAAGUGACGGUACCUGCAGAAAAGCACCGGCUAACUACGUGCCAGCAGCCGCGGUAA
rnacentral:rRNA from 1 species